rnacentral:rRNA from 1 species
GAGUUUGAUCCUGGCUCAGGAUGAACGCUGGCGGCGUGCCUAACACAUGCAAGUCGAACGGAAUUUACAUGAAGCCUAGCGAUUGUAAAUUUAGUGGCGGACGGGUGAGUAACGCGUGGGUAACCUGCCUUGUACUGGGGGACAACAGUUGGAAACGACUGCUAAUACCGCAUAAGCGCACAGCUUCGCAUGAAGCAGUGUGAAAAACUCCGGUGGUACAAGAUGGACCUGCGUCUGAUUAGCUGGUUGGUGAGGUAACGGCCCACCUAGUCGACGAUGGGUAGCCGAGCUGAGAGGCUGAUCGGCCACACUGGAACUGAGACACGGUCCAGACUCCUACGGGAGGCAGCAGUGGGGAAUAUUGGGCAAUGGGCGCAAGCCUGACCCAGCAACGCCGCGUGAGGGAAGAAGGCUUUCGGGUUGUAAACCUCUGUCCUUGGUGACGAAGGAAGUGACGGUAGCCAAGGAGGAAGCCCCGGCUAACUACGUGCCAGCCGCCGCGGUAAUAC